rnacentral:rRNA from 1 species
AAUGGGGGAAACCCUGAUCCAGCCAUGCCGCGUGAGUGAAGAAGGCCUUCGGGUUGUAAAGCUCUUUCAGACGGAAAGAAAAGGUUUCGGUGAAUAUCCGGAGCCGAUGACGGUACCGUAAGAAGAAGCACCGGCUAACUACGUGCCAGCAGCCGCGGUAAUACGUAGGGUGCGAGCGUUAAUCGGAAUUACUGGGCGUAAAGCGUGCGCAGGCGGUUGCAUAAGACAGAUGUGAAAUCCCCGGGCUUAACCUGGGAACUGCGUUUGUGACUGUGCGACUGGAGUACGGCAGAGGGGGGUGGAAUUCCUGGUGUAGCAGUGAAAUGCGUAGAUAUCAGGAGGAACAUCGAUGGCGAAGGCAGCCCCCUGGGCCUGUACUGACGCUCAUGCACGAAAGCGUGGGGAGCAAA